ensembl:lncRNA
GGCCCAUUGCAAUCCUUUAGGAAAAGGUCUGUCAUGUACCUACAUAAGGCAAUACAGUACUUAAUAACCUGAAUGCUAAGGAAAUAUUUACCACUGAGAAGUCAAGGCUAUAAGGGGACUUUACACAGCAUGACCACUACUGAGGAAAAAGGAUGAGUAUAUAGCAGUGUUUCUCAAACUUUUUCAGACCAAGGACCACUUAGCCAAUAAAAAAAAAACUUGCGGACCAUCUAACUAAACAUAGCACAAAAAGUAAGGAAAUUUGUGUUUGGUAGAUUAUUUCUUUGUUGUAACAAUGCUUCUUGGCAAUACAUCUUAUACCGUUGGAAAGCCUGUUUAUUUCCCUUUUUUUUUAAUUUAAAUUAUGCCACAUUUGUAAGGAACAUAAAAUGCCUAUACAAAGGGCUCUGGUGAUUUGAAAAGGUAGACAAAGCCCCUGAUAUUUCAUUUUUAUCUCACUCGCACAUUGCCCUAAGUCUCAUUUGAUUCAAGCUCAGAUUCAGCCUGAGCUGAGGCGUGAAGGGACUGUUGGAAGUCGUCUAAAUCAUUGACAAAAUGCCUCUUCAGGACUCUGGAGAGAAUGUAGGCUGUUCCGUUAAAAAUGAGUACAGAUUCACAUGGAUGCUUGGCAUGUCUAAUCAUGUAACACACAUCACACAGGGAAUUAACCAGGAGUCUUCUGAGCCCAUGAUUGUGUUGCUCAUUAUCACUCAGGGUAUCACGCAGGUGGAAAGAGAGCAUAUUUACAUACGCUCCGAUCCCUCGUCGUUUGCAUAGUCAUUCUUUCAUGACUGAAACCAUGAAAUUACCAUGCCAACAAGUUAAAGGAUUAGGGAGACUUGUAUGACAAUGAAUGACAAGUAGCCUGAACCCCAAGCAGACUAAAGUUAUUAAAAUGACAAAACUUUAGGGCCUUUCCACGAUUUUUAUUACCACAGAAUUUCCAGAAACUGGACUCUGAAAUCUUUCAGUCAUUUGAGGUUUUAUGGAUGACACUGCCAUCCAGUGGACUAAUGUUGAUCUGCGGCGGAAAAUAAUAAAUACAUAGAUAAAUAAGUAAUGUCCAGGGCAUGAUCAGAUAGCAACCAAUCGUUGAGAGGUUUUAUCUUUCAUUGUCUUAUCUAAACAGCAAUCAGGUAUUGUUAAGAGAGAAUCAGCGACGACAUUGGUCUCUCUAGAGAAGCUUGCAACAGCCUUCAUACUCGGAUAUGAUGCUUGCUAUUUGCUAUUAGUUAAAAUUACAAUGAUGUAAAAGAUGAUAAAAUUAUGAAUCGGUGCAUGAGUCAAGAUUAAUAAAUCCAGAUAUGAACCCUGUACUCUAACGUCAUCAAACACGUCUAUGGAAUGUCGUGGAGUAUGGCGCCACCUUCUGGUAAACUUGCGAACUGUGGAAUGUAGGUAGAUUACGUCAUUGUCUGGGAAAAAUCAAUUUAUGGGUCAUCUACUAGGUCGCUCUAAAUAGCACGCAUCAGUUUGGGAAUCAUAAAUUAGAAAUAUUGGUAAAUGAAGACGACUUUGGUUUGGCCUAUCCAGGUUCAUGUAUAAAUGGUUGAGUACUAUGAAGACCAGACAGUAUGUAUAAAGUGUUAUUAAAUGUAUAUAUUUUAGAAAUUGGGCAGCUACCAUGGGUGCAAUUCCCCUGGAGACACCAACUGACAUGAAAUAAUUACCAUGCCAACAAGGUAAAGGAUUAGGGAGACUUGUAUGACAAUGAAUGACAAGUAGCCUGAACCCCAAGCAGACUAAAGUUAUUAAAAUGACAACACUUUAGGGCCUUUCCACGGUCUUAAUUACCACAGAAUUUUCAGAAACUGGACUGAAAACCGAAAGUCACUAGUUCAUAUUGUGAAAGGUAUAGGCUGCUUCUCUCUGCUUGUUAAAAUAGAUUUUCUAGAAAGACGACAGACCUUGCAAUAACAAGCCGUCAAUAAUCAAUGUGUUUGUCUCAGGGUCUCAUGAGCUACUUUCCGUGGCAACGGAAAAUAUCUAGCCAUGCAACAAUAUUAGAUUAUAUUGGUUAGCCUAGCUGCGAAUUUAGCCUAACCCUUUUCGUCAUGACCGAGCGGCAUUACGUCGGGCGAGCCGCAUCAAACGGUCAGAUACGUAUUGGAUUUUAUUAAGCAGAAUAGGAAUAUUAUUUGCUCGAUUAAAAAAAUACAAAUAAUAACGCGAGAGUUUGCAAGUUGGCUCCAGACUGUAGUUACAACUGUCAAAGGUAGAGUGGAUACGCGCAUGACCAGGCACACAUUACUGUAUUACUGUACACGGCCGCGAAGAUAAUAUCCGUAUAAAAAAUAGGCAUAAUCCAGAGGUAAGGAAUCGAAGACUGCAUCGAAAUGGAACGCGACUGAGCCUUUCUGACCGUUUUCCACCGCUUCUAUUUCUUUUACUCUAACCAACUCUCUCGCAGCUGUCGAAAAUUACUGCACUAAACAUAUUUUUGUGGCUCCCUUUAGCUCCAGCGCAAGGAUUUUUUUUACUCCUCCUUCGUAUUAAAGUCGCCAUUUUGCUUCACUGCCUAUAAAAGCUUCUUCUAUUUUAUUAUUUUCUUUAAGGAGUCGACGUCGUUUCUAUCCUCUCUGUCGCUUGCUUUUUGACAUUUGUGGAGUUCGUUUUUAACGAGAGGGUUGAGGUUAAAGAGGUACCUCGUGGUUUACAUAUUAAUGAAGGAAAGAGACGAGCGAGUCUGGCAAUAAGGUGAAAGUGUUCAGGUUAUUUAAUUUGCAUUUCCUUUCCCCCUUUGCUGGUUUUAUUCGUUUUCUUCCGCGUCGUCUCCUCCUCUCCACUGGUCCUCCGCGGAUACACAGCGGGGGCUACGAGCGUGGCUACCGACCGUGACGGCUGUCCGUCCGCAACGAACCCGGCACACGGGACGGCGGCAGGUGUGAUUGCCAUGUAACAUCAAAAGGCACCGAGCGAAGACUAGGCUACAGCCUGACCCCACGUGGGUGACCCGGGUCACCCGGCCACUCUUGUUGGGUGGUUCCAGCUUUCCAGGCAUGGAGACCUCCAGUGGUGCGCGACUAGGGAAGCCCCCCCCAGGGGUGGCCAAGGGCCGGCCUCCCAAGCAGGCCCACCCCCCUGAGACGGCCCGCACGGGCAGCUCGGAAAACGACAAUCACGGUGAAUAUACAACCGCCAGCCUCACACGCACACACACACACACACACACACACGUUAAACACUCACACGAUACACAAAUGCACUCACACACACAAACCCCAAAAACAUACACAUACAGCGCCCACCCCACACCCAAACAUACAUACAGACACACACACACACACACACACACACACACACACACAUUCCCUACUCUGCCUGGCAAGUGUGUACCUUAUCGGCCGAGGCCUCGCCGUAGGCAGUGGAGUGGCAUGGAUUAGAUGAGACUAAAGUGCCGCAGCGAAUGACACCCUUGUCUACAGGAGGGGCUUUGAUGUGGCGGCGCUCUGGUUGCCGUGCGCCGCGGAACUGUACAAUCUCUGGACACGCGUGACACGCCGUUUCUACAUCUGAGAACCUGUGGAGAAGCAGGGGGGGGGGGGGGGGCGUUCUGAACACUACAUCACCCAUGUGGAGGCAAAUUGUCUGUGAAUUAAGCCUAUAGGGGCC